rnacentral:snRNA from 1 species
ACAUGGAGGUUUAUCUUGCAAA